rnacentral:misc_RNA from 1 species
UUUUGAACAAAAGUAAUGAACUAUUUUUAUAGAACGAAACGUGGUGAAUUCUGAACUCAAUAUUUUCCAGGCAAAAAUGGAAAACAAGAACACUCUUCUGUAUGCUCAACCAUACAAAUUAAGACUCUGAAAAUUGUCCCAAGGUAAAAUUGGGGUUUUAUGUUUGCAUGCUCGAAACAUACGCUGUACAUUCUCUAGGUUGAAAGAAAGUGGAUUUACAUCAUCACCAUGCAAGCAACUUCCUGAACCUUCAAUCAAUGAUUAAUAAAUGUAUGAUAUGAUACAACAAAGUUAAAUGUUGAUGGUUGCUUCCCAUAACCUAAGAACUCCAUUACGACCACCACUGCAUAUCCUUUUCCUUUCAAGAUCAGAGGCCACACAUCUCACCAUAGCAACUGUCUUCUGUGGCGUUCUGUAAAGCUGCCACCCAGACAUUUUUGAGCCAGUGCCAGAGAGGCCACCAAGUCGUUCUUGCGGUCGUUGAAACAGAGACAUGGAAUUGUCAGCUGCUCCAAUUCCUAACCAAUGCUCCCCAGCAUUGAUAGACAAUAUAGCAGCAUUAUGAAUGGUUACAUUCUUCACACAUUUUAUACCUCCUUCCUCAUUUUCCCAAAAUCGGAGUAGCCCAUCAGUUGAACCUGUUAUUAUUCCUCUGUCUAAUGUGGAAUACUCAACACAUAAAAUUGGACCAGCAUGGCAGGCUAAAACAGCAUCACAUGCUCCUCGUGAAACAGACCACACUCUUGCCGUCCAAUCAUCACUACCAGUAACCAGUGUGUCUCCAACCAUUCUAAUUGACCGAAUCCAUUUUGUAUGUCCUAACAGCUUGUGCAUUUGCCUACCAGCACGGAUGUCCCAGAUGUUUGCAACUGCAUCUCUACCAGCAGCGGCCAGGAUGCCAGUGGAAUCAUCAUACUCCAUGCAUAGGACUGCACUAGAGCAACGACCAACUGUUGCUACACAGGUAUCAGUUCGAACAUCCCACAUCUUCACAGUUCCAUCAUAGGCAGAAGUAAGGACACGUUCACCUGACAGCAUACGGACACAGCUGACCUGUGCAUCAUGGCCCUUCAGCUCUUCUAGAAGCUGAGAUGUUUGCUUAUCCCACACAAUAAUAGAUUGAUCAUCAGAUCCGGAUACCACCUUUCCCCUAUCAGAACUUAUAGCACGAACAGUUCUUGUAUGCCCUUUCAAAGUUGCCCGAAGUUCAGAACCACGAAUGCUAGGAUCCCAUAUCUUAACCAUACAAUCUGUGCUUCCACUGAUAAAGAAUCCUGCAUCUUCACGGUCACCCACCAGAUCCCACACCUCCCUUUUAGUUACACAAUGCAAUGCGGUAAUAGCACCAUUGUGACCCCUCAGUACACGAACAUUGGUCUGAAUUUUCUUUUGCCCAGCAGCAGAUAAAUCUUGUUUCCGAGGAGUUCCAUUCUCUUUUGCAGCUGAAGUGCUAUCAGAUGUCCAUCGAUGAACACGAGCAAAAGAGUUUGCUCUUGAUGAAUCUCUACUAAACAUGCUUUGUACCCAGCUCCUGCCUACACCAGAUGCCUCAGCAGGUUGCUGAUUCUCAUCUGUAACAUCUUUUGGACGUGGGGAAGACAAUCCAUGAGAUGACAUAGAUUGGGCCUUAACAGAAGUGGUUCCCCAGUAACCAAUACGGACUUGUAUAUGUGACAAAAAUCCUCUAAGUUUUAUAAGCUGCUUGUAUCCAAUAUUGUUCCUCUCUGCUAUAGUCUCAACCACGUACCAAGCAUCAGUAUCAGGAAGUCCCAAUGCAGCCAUGUGAGAUGCCAAGAGAAUUAGUUGUGUUGUGACUAAAGCUGCAUAAUUGGUUGACUUGCUUGAAGAAUGCUCCAUGAGAUUGUCAAAGUAGCCUUCCCAGAACCUUAGCUCCUCCCAUAUGGACAGUGAAAUUAGAUGCCGCUCGACAUAGUCAGAAACAUUAUUAGCAUCCUUUUUAUACAUUUCAGCAGAUACUUCAAGGGCAUCUCUAAUGGUUGACACAUCAUUCCGGGAUGUCGCACGACUAAUUGCUGUUUUUAGCUGAAACAGCAUAUGGAUAAAGUUAAGAAGAUUAAGAUAAAUCAAGAAGGGCAGGCAUAAAAGCAACAAUGAAACAGCAAUUCACCUGUAAGUGGGUAAAGCAUCAGAAAACAUUCAACAAAGCAAAGCAAGAUCAGUGACUAUAAAUUUUAUCUGAAGACAAGGCAAUUUCCCAUUUUUUAUGACAUCCACAUACCAAUUCUUUCACUGCAAUGAACUGCUCAUCAGUCAAUUGACAGUGCCAUCCUGAGUGUAUAUGCUCCCUUAUACAUUCAACAAACCCACUGCCACCAAUUCCCUCUGCAUCAGACUCAAUCAGUGCAAGGAUUGUGCCAUAUUCAAAUGAAGAAAGUGGAUCAUCAGUAGCUCCCAGUUUCAGAAGACGCAGCCACAAACCCUGCAGCUUAACUUUAAUGUCCAAAACCAUGCGCUCCCGUUCUGCAGCUCUCUCCAUUGGACUAAGAGAGUCCUUACCCACUUGCACAGAUGGUGAGCUAGGAGCAUGCUUUAUGUACUCAAAAGCUCCACUUGCUGCUGCAAGAAUCUGCUUCCUCUUCUCUUCUUGCUCUUCUGAUCUAAUGUUUGAAGGGAAUCUAUCAUAGGUAUAUUUAGCACCUGAUCCUGCUCCCACAUCUUCAUCGGAUAUGGUUAUAAUCUCAGGCUCUACCAAUGAUGAGGGAAGAAUUGAAAUAGGAUUUUGACCCCUUCCAAUUGCAUCUUGUAACUUGUCAAGGAGAUUAAUGUUGUUUUCAUCAGAACCUGCCCCUCUCUCCAGAUAGUCCAAGAAACCAUGAGAGUCCAAAAACUGCGUUAUCAUGGGCUCUGACGGCUGGUUUGUUGAGCGAGAGCGCUUCCUCAAAAAUGCUUGAGUGUUGAAGACCUGUGUUGCACUAUUUUCAAUGAAAUUGCGGUAGCCACCUAAAAUUGAUGCAAAGAACUUUAAGAAUAUUAACCUAAGUUGGAGGUCGUGAUCAUCCCCCCAAGGCUUGUUGCAACCUUUAAAAUAUUGCUCAGAUGAACCAAACACACCAGCCUUCAUUUGAUCUAUCCCCAUGACGUUAGGGCACAAUAACUUCAGUAUCUCACAACGCAAAGAACUUAAUUCUGGCUCCGGGAUAGGGGGUAUUUCCUCUGAUGUGCUGAUUUGGUUAUAGUCAAGGUCUACAACAACUACACCAUCCAUUGCAAGAUUAGAUGUAUCAACACCUGAAUGAAGACCCAUCAUAUACGGAGUUGGAGCAUCAAUAUAGUCUACUCCACUGAAAAAUAGUAAUGGAAUGUAGACAUGCUGCCACCUGAAAGGGUAAAUUAAAUGGCAUAUGGCCUCUGAUACGAGAGUUAAAAUAGAAUACUUGUUGGAUCGAAGUAAAAUCCUCCUCUCAAGCAACACAGCAGUAAAAAAUUUGAUUAAGUUGUCAACAUCCAAGCAUUGUACCAGUGGCUGGAAAGAUAUAUCAACAUGAGGAAGCCCUUCUUUUGGUGGAGCCUCCACACAGAGUAGCCAAUUCUCAAUAGCAAACAAGACUCGAUCCCUUCCAGGCAUAGGCAAAGGUACAUUGGACACCAUGUAUGCUAUAACAUCCCAUAAUGGCUUGCUGCUUCCACUGGGGGAAAAGCAUAGUGUAAAUAUCUCUUCCAGUGCAUUCCGAAGGACACGGAAACUAGGUGAGCGAGAUACAAGACAAAUACAUUUGUCGGCAAAUGAAUUUGCUGGUAUAUGGUAAGCUUCAGCAAUAUCCUCACUAACUGGAUCCCGAAAAGCAAUGCAACUGACAUAAAUUUUAGAUCCAUCACCCUCAGUUAAGACAAUAGGAUAGCUCCGUGGAAAAGUAGAGGCAUCAUUGGCAUCAAAUCCAGAGGAGUAGAACUCCACACCAGCAGGCAGAACACAAGUAGGGAGCUGGGGAGGAGGAGGAGGAUACAGAGAGUGAUUGUCAGGAGGGUAUUGGUCGAGCAGAGAAGGCAGGUACAUCAUUCCCGUUCCAUGGUACCCUUUGUCCCCAUCCAAAGUUCGAAUCUCUGGACCCAGCCCACAGACCACAAAAUACUCGAAGAUCCGAGCCAUUUGCGAUUGAUGAUUCCUCCUCUAAACUGAAUUUUGCUUUUUUUUUUCUUUAAUUUCCAGGGAAAAUUCGAAGUGAUCAGAUGAAGAAAUGGAGUGAGAUUUGAUUUGGUUUGGCUAGCAUUUUCCUUUUUGCUUUUCCAAUAAUGGGCGUUGAGAGAUUGGGAAUGGAAGAAAAUCAAAAUUAGAACUCAAGG